rnacentral:misc_RNA from 1 species
ACAACUAUUGUGUCGGCGCUUAUCGAGAUUUCCAUUCAUUGAAGCAGUUGGAUUGAGUCCGGCAUACUUGGAGGAGCAUAAACGUGUGCUGCACAUACCACUUCAUCAUCUUCCAGUCGCUGCACUAGCUUUUGUUGAAGGUUUCUUCGGGAACAAGAACGCCAGCGGCGCCAAUGUGGGCGGUCCCACGGUUCCACGGCCCCACCUCCGCAGGUCGCAUGAUCCAGCAGUGAUGAACAACUGUCUGUGGCUUUUACCGAGAUGUCUGGCGCUUAUUGAAGCAGUACUUGGCAUUGGUACAGCAUACUUGGAGGAGCAUAGGUCAGUGUGCUGCACGCAACACUUACAUCAUCUUCGAGUCGCUGUACUAGCAUUUGUCACAAAGAAGAUCGAGGUACACAGUUUUUCUGACGCCAUGACCAAGGAAGACCUGAGGGCACCGACUGUCAAAAUGUCUAGCUACUGGAACCGGCAAAUCUGUUUGGCGUGCUUUACGUUGGUUUUAAUGGCGGCGGGGUUUGCGGCUGUCUACUGUGGAGUAAAAUUUGGGUUGACCGGUGAAAACGGAUUAGAUGGGGUGAAUGUCACGUCUGUUGAGGAUGGUGUUUCGGUUACCCCACGUCCCGCAGAAAUCAAUCCGUCAACGCCCUUCACAACAAAUUUCACGCAACUUGAAAACAAUUCAACAACACAUUCCAAUGAAAACGUGCCCUACGUCACAGACAUACCUGCGUCAUCGUCCACUCAAUGUAUUCCACGUAACGAAACCUUCUGCAGCAAUCACAUCAAUUACACCCAUACGUUUUAUCCAAAUUUUGCGGGAGACAAGUCCGAACAUGAUUUCCUUGGUAGCUGGGCAUUCCUCCAGACCAUCAUCGAUUCCCUUUGUCACCCAAGGAUUGAAGAAUUUAUCUGCCUAGCAGCACAACCUGAAUGUCGUCUAGAUGGCAAAAGCAUAGGUCCCUGUCGUAAACUUUGCCACGAAAUUGCAAACGCCUGCGAUCCUUAUUUUUGGUCUGUAUUGGAAAAAGAGAAAAUCCUGUUCAACUGCGACGAGCAAUACGUUGACUCGACCGAUCAGAAUUUGUGCCUUAGUUAAGUGCCCAUCACGUCAGGCUACGUCAGUGUCGAAAUCUAGUAAUUUAAAUUAAUUCUUGACCAUUACCGGAAAGAAGAAAUCAUCAUUUUGAAUAAGGCAUGAAGAAAAGACAACAAUCUGGUUUACAAGUAGCACAAGUUGGAGGGCAUAAAGUACUUGAUAACAUUCCUGCCAUGAUUGACUUUCAAUCCAUGGCAGAAGUUCCUGGGAACACAUCACAUAAUUUUCACCACACUAACUGAUUUUUCCAUUCAUUUAACUAUUAUUACAUUUCUGAAUUCCUAUCUCUACUUAAGUGACCUUCUACUUUUCUUCCGUUGUGCCUUUUUGUGUCCCCCAUCCCAAGUCUUAUGAGACCUCGUUUCCGUUACGAUUUUCAUAGCUGUAGAAAUGGCGCCAAGAAUGUUCAUCUUUUUUGAAAAAUAAACAAGAACAUUACCUUUCCUU